rnacentral:rRNA from 1 species
AAAAGUUUGGGUGGGGAAAUUUUAAACUUUUGUUUUUUUUUUUUUUUUGGGGGGUAAUGCCCCUUUUCGUUUAAAACCUAACAAAAAGGUUUAAAGACUUUUUUUUUUCCCCCUUUCCCCCAAGAUUUUGAUCCCCUUUUCCCCUGCCCAAAAAAAAAAGUUUUAAAAAAGGCCCCAAAGAAAAAAAAAAAUGCCAAAAAAAAAAAUAAAUUGCCCUAAUGGGUUAAAAAAAUGUUAUUUUUCGUAAAAGAAAAAAAAAAACCUUUAAAAAAAGGUGAAAAUUUUUUUGGAAAAGAAAAAACAGCCCUUUGGCUUUUUAGAAACCCCCAGGUUUUUUUUGAAAAAAUCCCCCCCCCAUGGGGGGGGGGGGUUUUUUUUUUUUUUUAAAAUUUUUUUGGGGUUUUUAACUGGGAAAAAAGGGUUAAAAAAAAAAAUAAAGUUGGGGCCCCCCCGCCCUGGGAAAAGGGGGUUUGCUUUUGCGCACCAAUAACAAAACCCCUAAAACCAAAUUUUGGGGCCGGGUUACCCGCCAAUAAGAAAAAACCCAAAAAACCGCCCCUUAGCCCUUUUAAAAGGCCCCCAACUAACCAAAGUAAACCCUAUGCCCUAAACAAAAAAAAAUUAAAAAACUUUUUCCCCCCUUCUUGGAACCCCAAAAAUUUUUUUUUGGGGUGGCUUUAUAAAAAACACUCCCCUUUUAAAAAACGAACCUUUCCCCCUUUUUUGGUUUUGGUGCCCCAAAAAUCCGUGGGGGGGGAAUUGGGCAAAAAAAAUGGGAAAAAA